rnacentral:rRNA from 1 species
GAUGAACGCUGGCGGCGUGCCUAAUACAUGCAAGUCGAGCGAACAGACGAGGAGCUUGCUCCUCUGACGUUAGCGGCGGACGGGUGAGUAACACGUGGAUAACCUACCUAUAAGACUGGGAUAACUUCGGGAAACCGGAGCUAAUACCGGAUAAUAUAUUGAACCGCAUGGUUCAAUAGUGAAAGACGGUUUUGCUGUCACUUAUAGAUGGAUCCGCGCCGCAUUAGCUAGUUGGUAAGGUAACGGCUUACCAAGGCAACGAUGCGUAGCCGACCUGAGAGGGUGAUCGGCCACACUGGAACUGAGACACGGUCCAGACUCCUACGGGAGGCAGCAGUAGGGAAUCUUCCGCAAUGGGCGAAAGCCUGACGGAGCAACGCCGCGGGAGUGAUGAAGGUCUUCGGAUCGUAAAACUCUGUUAUUAGGGAAGAACAAAUGUGUAAGUAACUAUGCACGUCUUGACGGUACCUAAUCAGAAAGCCACGGCUAACUAC